GUGCAGCAGUCGCGAAUCUUCGGCAAUGGGCGCAAGCCUGACCGAGCGACGCCGCGUGCGGGAUGAAGGCCUUCGGGUUGUAAUCCGCUGUCAGAGGGGAGGAAAUGGCGGCCCUCAGGGUCGUCUUGACCAAACCUCAGAGGAAGGACGGGCUAAGUUCGUGCCAGCAGCCGCGGUAAGACGAACCGUCCAAACGUUAUUCGGAAUUACUGGGCUUAAAGGGUGCGUAGGCGGCCUGGCAAGUUGGGUGUGAAAGCCCUCGGCUCAACCGAGGAAUUGCGCCCAAAACUGCUAGGCUUGAGGGAGAUAGAGGUGAGCGGAACUUGGGGUGGAGCGGUGAAAUGCAUUGAUAUCCCAAGGAACACCAGAGGCGAAAGCGGCUCACUGGGUCUCUUCUGACGCUGAGGCACGAAAGCUAGGGGAGCGAACGGGAUUAGAUACCCAAGUAGUCC
rnacentral:rRNA from 1 species